GACGAACGCUGGCGGCGUGCUUAACACAUGCAAGUCGAACGGAAAGGCCCUGCUUUUGUGGGGUGCUCGAGUGGCGAACGGGUGAGUAACACGUGAGUAACCUGCCCUUGACUUUGGGAUAACUUCAGGAAACUGGGGCUAAUACCGGAUAGGAGCUCCUGCUGCAUGGUGGGGGAUGGAAAGAUUCGGCGGUUGGGGCUGGACUCGCGGCUUAUCAGCUUGAUGGUGGGGUAGUGGCUUACCAGGGCUUUGACGGGUAGCCGGCCUGAGAGGGUGACCGGCCACAUUGGGACUGAGAUACGGCCCAGACUCCUACGGGAGGCAGCAGUGGGGAAUAUUGCACAAUGGGCGGAAGCCUGAUGCAGCAACGCCGCGUGCGGGAUGACGGCCUUCGGGUUGUAAACCGCUUUCGCCUGUGACGAAGCGUGAGUGACGGUAAUGGGUAAAGAAGCACCGGCUAACUACGUG
rnacentral:rRNA from 1 species